rnacentral:rRNA from 1 species
ACGUAUGGUGCAAGCGUUAUCCGGAUUUACUGGGUGUAAAGGGAGCGUAGACGGAGCAGCAAGUCUGGAGUGAAAACCCGGGGCUCAACCCCGGGACUGCUUUGGAAACUGUUGUUCUAGAGUGCUGGAGAGGUAAGUGGAAUUCCUAGUGUAGCGGUGAAAUGCGUAGAUAUUAGGAGGAACACCAGUGGCGAAGGCGGCUUACUGGACAGUAACUGACGUUGAGGCUCGAAAGCGUGGGGAGCAAACAG